rnacentral:rRNA from 1 species
UACGUAGGUGGCAAGCGUUGUCCGGAUUUACUGGGCGUAAAGAGCGCGCAGGCGGUCGUUCAAGUCGCGUGUGAAAGCCCCCGGCUCAACUGGGGAGGGUCACGCGAUACUGAUCGACUCGAAGGCAGGAGAGGGAAGUGGAAUUCCCGGUGUAGUGGUGAAAUGCGCAGAUAUCAGGAAGAACACCAAUGGCGAAGGCAGCUCUCUGGGACGGUACUGACGCUGAGACGCGAAAGCGUGGGGAGCGAACAGG